CUGGAAUCCAAUAAGCGCCGGAAUUGAUGUUGCGAAAUUGUUCGAAUUUGAUUUGCGCUGAAUUUCAAUCGAGAUUGGAUUCAGCGUCCGUCCUGGUGCCGCCGGCUUGCAGCGCUGUCUACGUGACGUGAGUUUGAUUGGCAGGUGUUGGACGCGAUACAUCGGGAGUGAGCGACGCGAUGCUGCUGAGUGCAGCGAGCCUGCUGGUGGCAGCCAGCAUGGUGCAGGCAGACCACCCCUCCAUCACCAACUCAUUCGUGAACCUGGGCAAGAUUGAGCUAGCCUUCCAUAUCAACAGCGGCCCGCAAGAUCAUAAGCCAAAAUCUAUCUCAGCGAAACUUAAUCCUUCGUCAGAAUCUCAAGUCGCCCCUUGUCCUUGCACAUCUGGAAACAAUAACAGAGGGAGCGGAUCUUUUGAUACGUGGCGCGGCUUGUUGCCCGGGCGCGAGGGUCCCGCUGAUCCGGCGGCGUGUUGCGCUUCCCACGUGGAGGAGGAGGUGCUGCUCGACCUCUCCCCCCGCGACGCCCUCUGGCCCCGCGCCACUAACUCGCCUCUGCCGCUCCCGGUCUUACUGGACACUCUCUUUUUCAACAAAUCACCGAUAUCCCCGCCCAAACAGAAGACAAUUGAAAUAUUGUUGUUGCCGAAGAAGAAGCCAGCGACAAACAACAAGAUUCAGUCUGUGAACAUGGACAGCAUCACGAUGGUGGGUGACCACCAGCCCCCGCCAGCCGCCGCCGCCUCCGUCAAGAAGGACCUGGCGGGAGCCGCGACCGCCAGCCCCCACGUGAACGCCGUGUGACCAGCGCCGGGUCACGUGACACGUUAGUAACACAACUCACAUUUGUGUAUGACCUCAAUCAAGUCUCACUACGGUCUCUAUCUGUAAUAUUAAUUUCCUGCUAAAAUCUAAAAUAAAUAAAUGUAAAAUUUUACUACGGGGAAA